AGAAAGAGAGCCUGGGAGGGCUCCUCCGUCGGGCUGGGUUUGCCAGGGGCUGCAUGGGAGAAGCCUCCUCUCUUUCCUCCUCCUUGGCUUGGCUGGGAGUCUUGGGGGUCCCAGCUCCCUCGCGGCGCCCUCAAGUCCCACCUGCUGGCGGCGGCGGAGUGAGGCAAGCAAGGCCCCCCCCCUCGCCUUCUCCGUCCUCAGCUGAACCACAGGGCGCCCCUUCCCUCUCCCUUUCUUCCUCCUCAGUGGAGCGAACCGUGCCUCCUCCGCCUUGCCUCUCCAGCCUCGACUGCCCUGAGGACCCCCUCCCUCACCGCCCCUUCCUCCUCCUCCUCCUCCUCCUCUUCCCCAGAAGCGGAGGGAAACGAGGAGGAGGCGCUACUACUGCUGCUGCUGCUUCUGCCGCCGCCUUGGACUGCAAUGUGCUCCCCGCCGCAGCCCUGAAGGAGCCAUGCCGGGCUGGAAGAAGACCAUCCCCGUCUGCCUGCAAGCCGAGCAGGAGCGAGGUGAGGCCCACGCGAGGGGCGCCACUAGGUGUAUGUGGGGGGCUUUGGUGGCAAGAGUGGCGCCAAGAUAGAGGCAGGCCGCCUCCGCCUCCCCUCAGGUGCGCUCUGCCUCCCGGAGGCGGGGAAGCCGAGGAAGGGGGUUGCCCAGCCCACGCUCCCAGAGGCCUGGCCUCUCGGAGGCACAAAAGAGGCGCCCAGGUGCUGCUUCCAGUUGGGAGGCAACUUUUCCCCGCCUUUUCUUUUUUGGGAGGAUGUUGUCCAACUCUGCCCCUUCCCAGCCCCUCUCCAUGGGGUCUGGCUGUUCCUCCUGGUCUUCUCGGCGAAGUUUCUCGCCACAAUAACUUUCUUCAUUGCACAGAGAAGACAAGCAGUAGAACCACUGUCAGCAACUUCCACCUAUGGACAACUCCUAAGGCACAUGGGCCAUGGUGGCUGCUGUUAUUGCUGAUGGCUAUCUUGGUUCUUCCAACCACUAGUUGAUUCAGCUUCAAGCUAGCUUGGUGGCAGCUGCAAGGUCUAGACAUUUCCUGACACCCUGAAUUUACCACUGUGUCCUGGAGCUUCCAGUAUAAUGUUGCUCUAGGGAUUGUGGGAAACUGAAAUGCGGGAUGUCCACCCCAAUCCAAAUGUUCCCACCUGUUAAGUGCUUCUGGAGGUUGGUUGUCAUCAACCCUACCAGCCUCCUGGAGGACACCUUCAAGGUUGGUUCUCACCCUCUUUGAUAUCUUUCAGAGUACAGUAUUACACCUAUAUUUAUGUGGGAUACAUUCCAAGAUCUCCCCCCUACAUAUACUAUAUUUUGACUAUACCUGGUCCAGAAGCAUACCAGAGAAUAGCACUGGAGGGGUCCACAAACAUUUUGGGGGUGGGGAAAAUAUUUUUGGAGUGUUAGAAAGGAAAACUGUGGAUAUCAAGUCUGUGCUUACGGGAAUUGUAUUGUGUUAGUAUUGGCUGAGUAUAAUUUGUAAUAAGUCAUCAUACUCUCUGUUCAUGUCACUCUUAUAGGAAUCUCAAAACGGUUUCCAGUAAAAAAGAUAUAAUGAAUAUUCUAAGUUUAAUUUUUAAUUAAGUAAACUUUUCUAAUGUUUACAAGAGCAAAUAUGAAUAUGUGUGACGACUAAUGAGAAAUGUUGCAAUUAUUACAUAGUAGGCACUAUUUGAAACAGAUCGGGUGGGGAAUGCUGCAUUACUGGUCUCCAAUUUGCACCUCUCCAGAUUAGGAGCUGAUGCAUCACUAUUAAAUAAUUUCAAGCAUAUUAUUAAAAGAAAUAUAUUUUAUUCUAUUCUGUUCAUUGUUAUGUCUGAUUCAGCUCCUCUUCCUAAUUCUGUUGACUUACUGCUCACUUUUUUUAAAAAAGGAUCUUGGCCUUUACACAUUUCAUUUCCAAUAUUUGAGCUAGGCAGUGAUUCUCCACAUCAUCUAAUCAAAUCAACUGACUUUUAUUUCUAAGGUUACUUUCCCCCUUGCAUGGAUGCAUGCAAAAGCCUCCUGGACUUCUAACCCAGCCCACGAUUUUGUCUUUUCAGGUCUCAUCUGCCUUGAUAGCUCUGGGCAAACAGAACUUCUGUCUUGUUAACAAAUUCUUACAUUUGCAACCUCCUCCCCCAACCCCUUUGGAGAGAAAAAGCAACCUUCAAAUUUUUUUUCUCAACCUGGAAUAACCUCCAGCUUAUGUUGUAGAUGGCAUGAAAGAAAAGCAGAAUGCAUUGCAGUUCAAGAAAUUCAUUUGCAAUGACACAAAGGCCAAAUGCUAUAGUGGGCAAUGGGAAU
rnacentral:lncRNA from 11 species